UCUGGAGUAAGUGGCGAUUUUCUCAGCAUCCUCAUUUCUUGAAUUCCAAAGCUUGCUUGAAAUUUUGCAAGUUUGCAAAUUUACAAGGGCAAAUGGAUCUCAAAGCCGUGCAUGUCUUAAACAUUCCUAGUCUCCACGAAAUCACAGGUUGUCCAUUCUUCAUGCUUGGCUCAAGGUGAUAACCAUUCCAUCAAAUUGCUUUGAAUUAUAUAUAAUAGAAAAAGAAAAAAAAGAAAGUGGUUUUGAUCUUGAUCUUGUGUUUUGUGAAUAGGUCUGAAGGAUGAAGCUGAGGAGAGAGAGAGAGAGAGAGAAAGAGAAGAAAACCGCAAGGGGGAUGGGUUUUGUGUGUCUGGGUUUGUGUGAGAGAGAAAGAGAGAGAGAUGGAGAAAUUGAGGAAGAAGAAAAUGGCCGGAGAAAGGGAGAAGAAGAAAAUCGCAGAGAUGAGAUUUUUUUUUAAUGAAAAAAUUUGUUUGAAAAUACAUUUUUGCCCAUGCCAAAUAGAACUUGUCUAUGUCACGUCAUUAUUUUUAACUGAAAAAUUGACUGAGAUGAUGGAAAGGACAAUAUCUGAAAAUGGAGGCAUAAUUAAAGUACCACGGUAACAACAAAACAAUAAGAGGGAUGAAAAAUAAAGUUUGGUCUUAGUCUAGGACCAUUGCUACAAUUUAACCUAGUAAUUAUGACACUCAUAAAUCAUAAUUUAAAAUGUUAAUUUUAGUUAGAGAAAUAAAGUUAG
rnacentral:lncRNA from 1 species